AACUUUUUUGAGUUAAGACGAGGAUAAACUUAAUGAAUCCAUACUGUGAGCGGAUAGGGAAACUGAUAAAAAAGCUGGCGAUAUUUUGUGCCUGACUCAACAUAUUUUUCACUGGAAGAAUUGAACACGCUUUGGCAACAAUAAGGUUUAAACGAUGACUGGAGUAAUGAACAUGCAACGCCUUCGGGUUUUUCUCUAAUAUUCUCCCAGAAAUACCUUUUACCUGGCUGGACACAGCACUAGCACCGUCAUAUCCCAGGCCUCGACAAUUUUGAAGGGAAGCCCGACAUCUUGAAGUGUACUUUGACUAAUGAACGGAAUCAAAUCCAAAGGCGAAACAGUUCGGUAUACAAAUGAAAAUGUUCUUGAAUCAUGUAAAACUUCAAAUUUAUUCAAGAAUGUAUUAAAUUAUCCAGAAAGUAUAAGCUUGGAGUUAUCAUUAAAAAGUGCCUUGCACCAGAUAUUUUCAAUAAUUAGCUAUCGAGACCAUCCUCAGUUGU
rnacentral:lncRNA from 1 species